GGUCAUUGUAGCUCAGUGGUAAAGCAUCUGCUUGGCAUGCAGAAGGUGCCAGGUUCAAUCCCUGGCAUCUCCA